rnacentral:lncRNA from 1 species
GAAGGCCUAGACAAUAUAGUCUGGAUUGAUUGGAUAAACACAGAGGAACAAGAGAGCGGCAGAAUUGUACCAUGCAUGCAGCAGGCCAUGCUCUACACGGGCCUCUCAGGAUGCAGCAGAGAGAUAUACAGGCUUUUUGGAAUACUGAUGUGAGUGUAGAGGCCAGAAAAAUGAAGCUAGGUGGUAUUGGAGGAGAAUCUCUGAAGACUGCUCUCAGUAGGCUGACAACAAGUUAAGAUGAAUGUGUAACUGUUUUCUACAUUCUUCUUACUGCUAUAAAAAUAAUUGAAAUGCAGAAUGCUUAACUUCAUUCAGCUGUAAGCCUUGUAAGAAC